rnacentral:misc_RNA from 1 species
GAUGAAGAACGUAGCGAAAUGCGAUAAGUAAUGUGAAUUGCAGAAUUCAGUGAAUCAUCGAAUCUUUGAACGCACCUUGCGCUCCUUGGUAUUCCGAGGAGCAUGCCUGUUUGAGUGUCAUUAAAUUCUCAACCAUUAUCAACCUUUGCUGAUAAUGGCUUGGAUGUGGGGGUCUAUUUUGCUGGCUUCUCAGAUAGUCAGCUCCCCUUAAAUGCAUUAGCCGGUGCCCCGCGUGGACUGUCUAUUGGUGUGAUAAUUAUCUACGCUAUAGACAUCUGCAAUCAUAUGGGUUUGCGCUGCUUCUAACAGUCUGUUGAUUCAGACAAUACAUGACAAUUUGACCUCAAAUCAGGUAGGACUACCCGCUGAACUUAAGCAUAUCAAUAAGCGGAGGA